CCCUUAGACGUUCUGGGCCGCACGCGCGCUACACUGACGAAGUCAGCGAGCAUGUCCUACGCCGACAGGUGCGGGGAAUCUUGUCAAACUUCGUCGUGAUGGGGAUUGAUUUUUGAAAUUCUUGAUCAUAAACGAGGAAUUCCUAGUAAGCGCAAGUCAGCAGCUUGCGUUGAUUACGUCCCUGCCCUUUGUACACACCGCCCGUCGCUACUACCGAUUGAAUGGUUUAGUGAGAUCUUCGGAUUGGCGCCACUGCAGCUCAGCAAUGGGCUUGGUGGAUGCCGAAAAGUUGAUCAAACUUGAUCAUUUAGAGGAAGUAAAAGUCGUAACA
rnacentral:rRNA from 1 species